rnacentral:rRNA from 1 species
GAUGAACGUUAGCGGGAGGCUUAAUACAUGCAGGUCGAGCGGUAAGUUUUUAUAGCAAUAUGAAGACCUAGAGCGGCGCACGGGUGAGUAACGCGUACACGACCUGGCCUAAACUGGGGGAUAGCCUUGGGAAACUGAGAGUAAUCCCGCAUGUGAUUAUGUUACUGAUGGUGAUAUAAUUAAAGCUUCGGCGGUUUAGGAUGGGUGUGCGUCUGAUUAGCUAGUUGGUAGUGUAACGGACUACCAAGGCGAUGAUCAGUAGGGGGCGUGAGAGCGUGACCCCCCCACACGGGUACUGAGACACGGACCCGACUCCUACGGGAGGCAGCAGUAAGGAAUAUUGGUCAAUGCCCGGAAGGGUGAACCAGCCAUCCCGCGUGAAGGAUGAAGGGGCUCUGCCUUGUAAACUUCUUUUGUAUGGGGCGAAAAAAGGGGAUUUAUCCUCGACUGACGGUACCAUAAGAAUAAGCACCGGCUAACUCCGUGCCAGCAGCCGCGGUAAU